GCCCAGAUGGCGGAAUUGGUAGACGCGCUGGUCUCAAACACCAGUGGGGCAACCCAUGCCGGUUCGAUCCCGGCUCUGGGUA
rnacentral:tRNA from 1 species